rnacentral:lncRNA from 1 species
AAAUCUAGUGGCUUUGUAAUAACUCACUUUAACUAUUAGGUGUAAUAAUACUUAUAUAUAGAAGUAUCUUUGGAAUAUAACAAGUGGUAGAGUAUUAUGUAAAUAAACACAUCCUAGCUCAACCGAGAAACAAAUGUCGAUAUUGUUAGAUCGGACGUCAUGAUUGGGAUUCGAACUCUGAUGGUCUCACUUGUGUGUGUGAGUUUAUGAUGGCUUUGCUAGUGGGUCCCAUAACUUACACCAUUCAUUCAUUCUUUCACUUCCUCUCCAAAGUCAGAAUAAGAACUUUGAUUCUCCCUACCAUCACUCACGCCCUCCUCUCACCGUCAACCUUUUAACAAUUCAAAUCAACAUAUUUGGUGAUCGAUCUCUUGCAUGCAUCGUAACUCCCAAGAACCUAAGAGAAAUCAGAAGCUAAGGUCAGAGUUUCAACUCAUUUAUAUUCUUUACCUCUUUCCUUUCUCACGCACCAACCCUCAUCAACAACUUAUGACUUUCAAAACCUAUCCGCGUGUUGCAUGUGUUCAAUCCUACUAUGAAAGAACUCCUUGAAACUGAUUAUAAUGUGGCAGGAGAUGAAGCAAUAAGUCAAGGACAUAAUUUGGAGUUUUAAGGAAUUGGGUGCUUGAAGACUUGAAGUUCAUUACCAACAAAUCCUUUUAGCCAGCACCUUUAAGAACAAGGUGUGUUCCUUUAGGUUCUAACUGUUAAUUAAGAAGUCUCACAUCGGUUGCGAGAUGGCCUAAUAAGUGUUUAUAUAUUAUAGACAAUCCUUACCUUACAAGCUGGUUUUGUAAGGAUGAGUUAAGCUCAAUACUCAUUUAUAAGACUAACCUUAGUUAGAAUGGAAUUAGGAAUUAAUUUUUGGAUCUACUGAACAUGCAUAGUAGUAGUAGUAUUCAGAAUAAAUUAAGAAAAUUUUGAUUCUACAUGCAGUGAGCUAAUCCCCAUACCCCAUAUGCUCAUUUUGUGUUAAAAUGUGUUUGUUAGUUGUGUGGUAUAUAUUAGGAGUCAAUGGGCGAUGCAAAACUAUGAUUAGUAACUUGCUUUUUACUUGAAAAACUAAGUGUGUGUUUGGUUCUGCGGCGGAGAGAAUUGAUUUUGGCAGAAUUGAUUCUGUAAAAUUGAUUCUGGCCAAAAUUGAUUUUGGAUAUAUUCAUGAAAAAGUGAGUUGAACAAAAAAUUUGAGUGUAAAAAUCAAUUCUAGAAUCAGAAGCUACGAUUUCUAGCUUCAAGUAGAAUCAAUUCUGGAGGCAGAAUCAAUUCUACUCUUGAGAAACCAAACAAGUCAGAAUCAAUUCUACACGUCCAGAAUCAAUUCUGGAUGCUCCAGAAUUGAAACCAAA